UCCUUGAUUUAGUAGAGUUUGUGCAUAAUUAGAUCUGUUCCCUCAUUGUGCUGCGGAGAGCAGCAGUGAUGGAGAGCGCGCGUGUGCAUUUUAUACGCUUGUUGGGUGUUUAGCGAAAGCAUCUGUGAUUUUUCCUGUCCCUUGUGAUUAGGUAAUUGGUCUAAAUAGGAAGAUUGGGCCUUCGCUUGGCCUAACAAUGCUCCCGCUCCUUCGUGUUUCCAUGUGCUGUGAGGGGAGCCACCAGCUGGAGCUGUGGCACCGCCUGCGGCCUACCCGCAGCUUGAGGCCUGUGGGGGGCCGGGGGCCAAGCACCAUGGUGCCUGCAGGGCCCUGGGGGGCAAGAUGGAAGGGAACACCACAAGUGUCACCUCUCCUGUCCUGGUAGAUGCGUGCUGCCAGCAGUGCUGCAAUAUCCAUCGAGGGCCGCCCAGAGUUUUCUUUGCAGCCAGAUGACUACCUUGCACUAGUAUGACGUCUCUGUCAUACUUUUACAUGGGUUGUCCAAGAAGAAAACCCAACAAUUUCCAAUGCAGCAUGAAGCUGGAUCAAGGAGGUAGGAUGUAUUACGUGGAGUUUCUCCAUUAACAUUUAGCAAAGGACAGAUUUAAACAUUUCCGUGCCAUCCAGCCAUUUUACACCUUUUAACAACGUUCCUGGAUUAGCUCUGGCUUUCAUUCGAAAAUGUCUCUGCGAUACCUGGCAUUCGCAGACGCUGGUUUGCAAGAGCGCUGUCACGAUGCCCCUGCCCACACGCAACGCUGCCUGGAACCACAGAGUGAUAAAACCUCUCCUCGCUCUUCCUGGAUGUAAUUAUUUCUAAUAAAAUCUA